GACAGGAUGGCUGAAAUAAUAGGCUGUAAAUUGUAAAUUUAUAAAUGGUUGAACCUCCUGUUA
rnacentral:tRNA from 1 species